CUAUUUUAUAAUACAUUUUUGAUAUCGCUUUAAACUUGAGCUUUUACUGAUCUAAUGCUGAAAAUUGUGAAUGAGAAAUAAUUUCUACUUAAAUUCCAAGUUUUUAUCAUCAAUAAACUCAGGGAAAUAAAUCAUCAAAAGCUAUCACCCAGUAGAUGACGCUACUCUUAUCAUUUUUUCGGUUUUUAUCAAGCGACCGAAAAAUCAACUUUAAAAAUUUAAUUCUUUAUAUCUUAUGAUUCUCAUUAACUGACUGUUGUAUUUUUCAAAUGUUGUUUAGAGUUGAAUAAUUGGUGCCUGAGUUUCUGCAAACAAAUUAUCGACCAAAAUCUUGUACAAAUAGCUAAAAGACUUGUGUUUUGAUUUAGAUACCAGCCAUUAAUUUGACUCUUAAUCGACCUACAGGUUGGAAAAUGACCUUUUCAGUAAUGAAUCAAUCUGGAAAGGAAAGUUGAUGCCUGGUGCGAGAAAUUUGCUAUUUAAUAGAUUGGAAAUUCAAGUCCUCUACUCACAGCAAUCUCCUUUGGAUGCACUCAAAGUCAUUAAUAGUCGAUAUUUCUUGGCUAAUUCGGUGUACUCACACUUGCUGCUUCAUAUUGAACGUGUUUGCCUAUUUUUUGAUGAAUAUUUCAAAUUUUAGUCGAGGGUUACUCCUGAUGAAAUUAGAGGAAAGAGUGUAUGGCGUUAUAUCCACAAUUGGCUGAAAAUUGGCAAGAAUCUUGAUUCAAGAUUUUAUAUCAAAUGACAUCUAAAUUGUCACCUGAUUUCCUGACCAUCGACCUUUAAUCGUUCAUUUGAUGACGAACAUGGUUAAAUUAGCUUAACAGAUGAUGACUAAAAUACUGUUAAAGAUUACCUCUUCUUAAUCUGGUCCACUAAUCAAAAUCUGACAAAGACAGAAGUUUUAAAUGUAGAUUCAAGGUUUUAUGGUCAAUUAACCGAACCAGAUUAACAGAAUUAUUAAUGUUCAGAUCAUAUAUCAUUAAUAAGAUUGAUUAACAAGCUGAUUGUCUUGGCCGAUUGCUGAUGUUGCACUUAUAAAGUCAAAAAAUGCACCGAUUGCCUGUUCAUUGCCAUUCAUUCAGUUUAUCUGAUUAAGGCUUGAGCUUCUCAUUUCAUCUUAAAAUACGAGUUAUUAAACACCAAUCAAAGAGUAAUAGAGAGUAGUUACAACUCUUUGACACUAAUCAGCUAACUAAUUGAUUAAAAGUUUCAAUUACAGUCGAUAAAGGUAAACAAUAGUAACCUCAUCAUUCACCAAAAUAGAGUAAACUCAAUGUCAAACUAAAUCCAUGACUGGGAAACAUCACUCAUGUGGAUAUCAACAUUUGGUUUUUCAAGUCUAUUCAGAAUAUUCAAAACUAUAAUUAUUAACCCGAUUAAGCCCAAGUAAUUCAAGUUAACCCAAGACAAAGCCAAGGAUUUCAGUGUUACUAAAGUGUUGUAAAGAAAGUAAAAAGCAAAGAUGGAUUUGAUAUAAUUUGGAUUUUAUUAACGAUCUUCAAAACAUUGAGAUUCAAAGAUUCAAAUUGUUUGACAAUUGAAAGGAAAGUUGCAUUAUUUUUCGUGGUUGGUGAUUUUGGUUUCUUAUUUAUCGUUGGCAUCACAUAUUUAUACAUUUAGUUUUUUUAUGAAUAAUAUAA